rnacentral:lncRNA from 1 species
AUUUUAUACUGCAUUUUUCCUAAAUUAAGAAUUAAACCCAGAUGAUAAGUGAUAAUAACCCUUGUUCCUGAUAUACUGAGGGUUAAAAAUGAAAUUGUAUUACAACAGAUAAAAACAAAGUAACAAUAUGAAUUAUCAGAGUACUUAAAAACAGAUAAACAUUUUUUAGAAAAAUGUUACCAAAAUUGAAAAGAAAUAAAACCAGAAUAAUUUAUUUAAAGAUAUUGAAUUGAUAAACAUGUCUUAUGUUAUAAGACACUAGACUUCCAAACCUAUGUUAAAUACAUAAUUCCUAUAUUAUUAUAACCUUUUAGGAAAAACAAAGUAACAUAUCUUAAACCUGUGAUAAAAAGUUAUCUCAAAUUUUGCUAAGGAAAUAAACGGAAGCUGUAGGACAUUUCACUAUGAACAUAGUUGUCAAAAAUCCUAAAUAUGGUAUGACCAUAAUUCAGUUACAAACAAAAAUGAACCAAUAAAGUUUUAUUUCAGGAAUUCAGUGAUGGUUCAGCAUCUGGAAGUUUAUUGCUGCAAUAUACUUAACUGGAAAGGAGAAGAUCUAUUUUAAUAGGGCACCUAGAUUGAAGAAGAAGCAUCCUUAAAACUAGAUACACUAGUCAGAGAAAUGGGAAGAACUGAGCUAUGAGAGUUAAAACAGAAGAGAUGAAAAUGACCUUAUUUGCAAAGAAGAGCAAAAUUUUGAACUAUUCUGGGUCCAAGAAUAAUAUGCAAUUACAGCACUCCUGGUUUUUUGUUUGUUUAGUCAGCUAAAAGAUUUGACCAGAACAAUUGUAGAGGAGGAAAAAUUUGGUUUCAGAGACCUCAGUCCAUAGAGAGCAGGCUCCAUUCCUUGGAGCUUCAGGUGAGGCAGAACAUCAUGGCAAAAGAAUGUGGUGGAGGAAAGCAGCUCACUGAUGAUCAGGAAGUAAGGAGAUAGACUCCACUCUCCAGAUACAAAAUACACACCUCAUAGCCAUGCACGGAAUGAACCACUUCCUCCAGCCAUACUCCAUAUGCCUCCAAUUACCACUCAGUUAUUCUCAUAGGGAUCAAUUCACUGAUUAUGUUAAGAUUAUAACCCAGUCAUUUCUCCUCCAAACCUUACUUUGUCUCACACAUUUCACAUUCAAACCAUAACAACUAUAUACCCAUCAAAAAUGCUACACACUCCAUACCAAGCUGUGAUCUUGGAGGAGGGAAGAACAAAAAAAAAUCACAAAGCAUUUUUGAAAAAGCAUAACUAAAGGAAAGAGAUAAUUCAUUGAUAGAAAGGUAAUAUUGUACAUUUAUAAAUACACAAUCUCCAAAUAAUUUCUGUGGGUCUUGCAAAGCAGUUCCAAUAUUUUAUGUGAAAGAAGAAAAGGACCAAGGUUUGUCAUAAAAAAGCCUGAAGAAGGGCUGGGGUUGUGGCUCAGUGGUAGAGUGCUUGCUUAGCAUGUGUGAGGCACUGGGUUCAAUUAUCAGCACUACAUAUAAAUAAAUAAAUUAAAAGUACAUUAACAAUUUAAUAAAAAUAUUUUUUUUAAAAAUCCUGAAGAAAGGUAAAUAGACUCGCUCUAUCAGAUAAGGAAACUUGUAAAACUAAAGACUGAUUGAUGCAAUAAACAGAUGAAUGAAACAAAAGUAGAGGCCUUAGAAACACCAUGUAAAAAGUUUACUAAAUAAGGGCUGGGGUUGUGGCUUAGCGGUAGAACAUUCAUCUAGCACAUGCAAGGCCCUGUGUUCGAUCCUCAGCACCACAUAAAAAUAAAUAAAGGUAUUGUGUCCAACUACAACUAAAAAAUAAAUAUUUUUUAAAAAAUUUACAACAUAGCCCUAUAAAUUACUGGAGGAAAAUUGACAAGAAGUGAUGUUGGUCACUUGUUUAUGAAUAUGAAAAGAAUAAAAGUGGAUUCCUACCUCAUACCAUUCAAAACUAAAUUCAAGUAGAAUACAAAAGCCAAACUUAAAUGUUUAAGGUUUAGUUAAUUUAGUUUACCUUUUAUGAACCUGUAAUAAGAGUUCUUAUACAAUAUACAAAAAACAUAAGAGGUUGGCAAAUUUGACCUAAAAUUUAAAAUUUUUGCACAACAAAUGAUACUACAAAGUUAAAGGAUAAUAUAUUUCACAGUGUACAUAACACAUUUUGCAUUCAGAAUAAUGUAAAGAAAUUCAGAAAAAUCAAUGGGAAAAAAAAAAAAAAAAACUCAAGCAGCCCAACAGACCAAGAAAGACAAUUACAGAAGAAAAACAAAAUCCAGAUAGAAAGUAAGCAAAUUAAUCCCUACUACUAAUAAUAAAAAAAAUAGAUUAAAGCACUCUGAAUAUCAUAUUACACUCAUAGGAUUGAUAAAAUUCAAAUUAAACAUAAUUAUUAAUAUGUGGAGCAUCCUAUAUAAAUGCUCAUAGGAAUAUAAACUAGUACAACCAAUUACUGCAUUUGGCAGUAUAAUAAACAUGACAAUGCUCAAUAUCUUAAAACCUAGCAAAUGUACAUCUGGGUAAUGGAAAGUUGUGACCCUAGCUUUUGUGAUUCAAGCCUUUCUAAGAUUGAGGCUGAAAACAUUCAUAAAUAAGAUUUAAACUGGGCAUGGUGGCCCAUACCUAUAAUCCCAGUGACUCAGAAGGCUGAGCCUGAUCGGAGUUCAAAGCCACUCUCAGCGACUUAGUGAAGCCCUAAACAACUCAAGGAGACCCUGUCUCUAAAUAAAAUACAGAAAAGGGCUGGAGAUGUAGCUUGGUGGUUAAGUAUCCCUGGGUUCAAUCCCUGGUACCAAAAAAAAAAAAAAAAAAAAAGAUUCAAUAAGAAAGCUCUUUAAGACUUGUUAAAGUUACUUUGGAGAAUGUGGAUAUAUUUAGAAGGAUUUUUAUAUAGUUAUAUACAAAUUUUACAUAGCCAGUACCAUAAAAUUUACAUUAAUUGUGCUUGUUUAGUGUUUACUCAAAGAUUAAUCCUUUAAAACAUUCUUAGGGGCUGGGGUUGUAGUUCAGUGGUAGAGCGGCUGCCUCGCACAUGUGAGGCACUGGAUUCUCAGCACCACAUAAAAAUAAAUAAAUAUUUUUAAAAAAUAAAAAUAAAUAAAUAAAUAAAUAAAUAAAGAUAUUGUGUCCAUCUACAACUAAAAAAAAUUUUUUAAAAAAAAAGUUAAAAAUAAAAAAAUUCUUAUAUUUGUAUUUAAUGUCCUCCAAAGACUGUUAACCUAUCAACAUGGUAUUAUAGAAAAAUAAAACAUUAGCCAGCCAUGUUAACACAGGCCUGUAGUCCCAUCAACUUGAGGUGAGACUGGAGGAUCAAAAGUUCCAGGCCCUCCUGGGCAAUUUAAUAAGACCCUUCUCAAUGUAAAACAGAGGGCUGAAGGAUAUAAUUCAAUGGUAGAGCACUUGCCUAGUAUGCACAAGGCCCUGGAUUCAAACCCCAGUACUCCCAAAAUGUAAACUUUUAAAAAUAAUUAAGGGGGCUGGGGAUGUGGCUCAAGCGGUAGCGCGCUCGCCUAGCAUGCGUGUGGCCCGGGUUCGAUCCUCAGCACCACAUACAAACAAAGAUGUUGUGUCCGCCAAAAACUAAAAACAAAAAUAAAAUACUAAAGUUCUCUCUCUCUCUCUCUCUCUCUCUCUCUCUCUCUCUCUUUAAAAAAAAAAUAAAAUAAAAAAUAAAUAAAAAUAAUUAAGCACAAAAAAUUGUUUAUUCGAGUUUGUGAUAAUAGGUCAAAUUAUUUGCUCACUAACUUUGUGAUAACUGAUCAUAACUUCACUGUGUUUAUAAUUAACUCAACAUCAAAAUAUGAUAAUCGUCUUGCUGAAUAAAGGUGUCUGAAAGCCUUGGUCUUUG